rnacentral:misc_RNA from 1 species
GAUGAAGAACGUAGCGAAAUGCGAUAAGUAAUGUGAAUUGCAGAAUUCAGUGAAUCAUCGAAUCUUUGAACGCACAUUGCGCCCGCCAGUAUUCUGGCGGGCAUGCCUGUUCGAGCGUCAUUUCAACCAUCAAGCCCCAGGCUUGUGUUGGGGACCUGCGGCUGCCGCAGGCCCUGAAAACCAGUGGCGGGCUCGCUGUCACACCGGGCGUAGUAGAUUUUAUCUCGCUCAGGGCGUGCUGCGGGUUCCGGCCGUUAAAAAACCUUUUUUACCCAAGGUUGACCUCGGAUCAGGUAGGAAGACCCGCUGAACUUAAGCAUAUCAAUAAGCGGAGGA